GGAGAGAUGGCCGAGCGGUUGAAGGCGCAGCAUUGGAAAUGCUGUGUACGGGAAACCGUACCCAGGGUUCGAAUCCCUGUCUCUCCGCCA
rnacentral:tRNA from 1 species